GGUUAGACAGUUCGGUUAGACGC
rnacentral:siRNA from 1 species